UACAGAGGUCUCAAGCGUUGUUCGGAAUCACUGGGCGUAAAGCGCACGUAGGCGGAUUGUUAAGUCAGGGGUGAAAUCCUGGAGCUCAACUCCAGAACUGCCUUUGAUACUGGCGAUCUCGAGUCCGGGAGAGGUGAGUGGAACUGCGAGUGUAGAGGUGAAAUUCGUAGAUAUUCGCAAGAACACCAGUGGCGAAGGCGGCUCACUGGCCCGGUACUGACGCUGAGGUGCGAAAGCGUGGGGAGCAAACAGGAUUAGAA
rnacentral:rRNA from 1 species